GAUCAUGGCUCAGGAUGAACGCUGGCGGCGUGCUUAACACAUGCAAGUCGAGCGAAGCACUUAACUUUGAUUCUUUCGGGAUGAAGAGUUCUGUGACUGAGCGGCGGACGGGUGAGUAACGCGUGGGUAACCUGCCUCAUACAGGGGGAUAACAGUUAGAAAUGGCUGCUAAUACCGCAUAAGACCACAGCACCGCAUGGUGCAGGGGUAAAAACUCCGGUGGUAUGAGAUGGACCCGCGUCUGAUUAGCUAGUUGGUGGGGUAACGGCCUACCAAGGCGACGAUCAGUAGCCGACCUGAGAGGGUGACCGGCCACAUUGGGACUGAGACACGGCCCAAACUCCUACGGGAGGCAGCAGUGGGGAAUAUUGCACAAUGGGGAAACCCUGAUGCAGCGACGCCGCGUGAGCGAAGAAGUAUUUCGGUAUGUAAAGCUCUAUCAGCAGGGAAGAAAAUGACGGUACCUGACUAAGAAGCCCCGGCUAACUACGUG
rnacentral:rRNA from 1 species